UACAGAGGGUGCGAGCGUUAAUCGGAAUUACUGGGCGUAAAGGGUGCGUAGGCGGCGGGGCAAGUCUGAUGUGAAAUCCCGGGGCUCAACCCCGGAACUGCAUUGGAUACUGCCUUGCUCGAGUACUGGAGAGGGAACUGGAAUUUACGGUGUAGCAGUGAAAUGCGUAGAGAUCGUAAGGAAGGCCAGUGGCGAAGGCGAGUUCCUGGACAGUUACUGACGCUGAGGCACGAAGGCCAGGGGAGCAAACGGG
rnacentral:rRNA from 1 species